rnacentral:lncRNA from 1 species
CUGAGUUCAUUGCCUAUGUCCUUUUACAACUCAAUUAAUAGUUUAAUACUUAUAGUAUAUAAUAAUAAUAAUAAACUAUUGCCUUAAGGAAUUAGAUUCCCAGACAUUUAAAGUUAUCUCCUCUGUCCUGAUGAGAUGGGGUUUCUAAACUUCCCCACCUCAAAGAAAAUGGUCACAUCUUUUAUGAUCUCUGUUUUUAUCAACUCUGGAGCUCUGUUAUGAUGUUGCUUCGAUCUUCUGUUUCUUUCUGGUUGAUGUAGAACAUCAUACAUGGGCUCCAGACCCAUAUCCAUUAUAGAAGGCCCAUUAUUGAAAGAGAAUAUAAACAGAGGCAAGCCUGGAAGGAUCGACAGUUUUUGAUUGAAUAGCAUUGUUAAGGUUUUAACCUUUUAUUCUUCCUCUCUAUUUUCUACUUCUCCUCUUCCUAAAUCUGGUGGAUUCCAGCAAUUCUCUCUGUGCUCUUGUUCUAAAUCCGGUGGAUUGCAGAACUCUCUUCCUCUUCUGUGGAUUCAGAAGAUCUAUCUUGUAGCGAUCUUCAAUCAGAGAUCGGCUACAUCAGGUGGUAUCAGAGCCUAAACUUCAAUUUCUAGGCUUGAAGCAAUCUGCUCCUGCAUUUUCUGGAAAAUUUAUUUCCGUCUGGGGAGGUUUCCAUUUUUGCGAUCGUCUUCAAGGAGGUUCUGGAUCGUCAAAAAAAAAAAAAUCGCGAUCGGACGCAAGUUUCUUUCCAAUCUGUUCUUCAGACGUCGUCUGCUCAUUCUCCUCGUGAUCGUCUGCUCGCCUGGAUCGACUGCAUCGUCUGGAUCAUCUGCUCAUCUGGAUCGUCUGCUCGUCUACAUCGCGAUCUGUUUUUCCCGUCUGGAUCAUCUGCUCGCGCUCGUUCUCCAAUCACGAUCGUCUACUCAUUCUCCAAUCGCGAUCGCCCGUGCAUCUGCUCAUCUACUCGUCUGGAUUGUGAAUCUCCUGUCAUCUGCUCGUUUGGAAUUUCUUCCGCCUGCUUCUCAUCUGCUCUAUCGAAUUUUUUAAUAAACUUUUCCCCUUUCAAACUGUAAGAGUGAAACUGUCUUGGCCACGAAGGUGCAGUAAGGGGAUUGCAUUUAUCAGAUUUAUACUCGAAGAUAUUGAUUUAAUUUUGGAAGAUUUAUAUAAUAAUCUUCUGAUUGGAGGAGUGUGUGUAACUUUCGAGAUUAGCACAAAGGCGGGAGGGGAUUGUAUUGUUGUGAAAGGUUUUGAUAAAGAUAUCUCAGAGCAAGAAGUUUCUAAGUCAGUAAGAAAAGCCACAAAUAGGAACAUUAUUGGUUUGUGGCUUGUGCGAGGAAACGCUGUUGAUAACCUAUCGCCCCAUGCUUAUGAGGAAGCAAUUUUAAGAGAAAUAACCCCUUUCAUGUUCAGCAGACAGAAACCAAGUUUAAACUGCAGGAUUGAAGUUUACAAUCCUAAUCCAAAAGACGUUAUGAUGAAGGCUAUCACAUUUGAUGGAAGUUAUCAUUUUAAAGCAGCUAAAGCUUUGGAUCAUCUUCAAGGAAGAGUUCUCUCUGGUUUCGAAAAUUGGCAGAUGAUAGAAUGUCACCAUUUGUUCCAAAGCUCCGUAUACUGCCCUCGUUACAUUUAUUUGGUUAUUAAGAAUGAUCUGGAGCGUGUUUUGGAAAAAUUGGGAUCUAUCAAAGGUGGUUAUUAUAAGAAGGAAAUACUAGAGAAUGGUUCCCAUCGGAUAAAGCUUUUUGCCAAUGCAACAAGAGCAAUGGUGAAUAUGAGGAAACCACUAGAUGUUUUGGUGAAAGGAAAUAUCGUAAGUCACUGUAGUUUGACAUUCACUGUCCGGGAUAUGCUACUUUCAAGGGAUGGUUUUCUUCUCAUAAAGUCUGUAAAACGGGAGAAUGGAACCUGUAUCAUUUACGACAGACACUCCAAACUGUUGAAAGUAUUUGGUUCUCAAACAAAUGUCAAUCUUCUUCUGGAUCGACUCAUGAAAGGUGAUAAAUAUGGAGAACGCCGUGGUGCUGCCUUUAGACUUUCUGGAGUAGUAACAGACUUAGUGACACUCCAUGAUCAAAAAGGGAAGGGUCGCACUAGUAUGUCUAUCGCUGAAUGGUUAAAGUCGUGGCGGGGAAAAGAAGUCAGUGGAUCUUUUUCACGUAAUAGAGCACACUGGAGAAAACGUUUCCCACCUGACCUAGGUGAAGCAUAUCUCGUAAAGCAGAGAAGUUUUAAUGAAGACUAAUGCUGCUAUUUUGAGACGUUCGAGGACGAACGAUCCUGAAGAAGGGUCGCCUGAUGUAGUACAUCAUACAUGGGCUCCAGAGUCCAGACCCAUAUCCAUUAUAGAAGGCCCAUUAUUGAAAGAGAAUAUAAACAGAGGCAAGCCUGGAAGGAUCGACAGUUUUUGAUUGAAUAGCAUUGUUAAGGUUUUUACAUUUUAUUCUUACUCUCUAUUUUCUACUUCUCCUCUUCCUAAAUCUGGUAGAUUCCAGCAAUUCUCUCUGUGCUCUUGUUCUAAAUCUGGUGGAUUCCAGAGUACUCUCUUCCUCUUCUGUGGAUUCAGAAGAUCUAUCUUGUAGUGAUCUUCAAUCAGAGAUCGGCUACAUCACUGGUCAUAUGUGGCAGCCAGACCAUGCUCCUAAGAAAACCCCAUUGAAGACAACAGCA